AGGUUGGUUUUUCCCCCCCUAAAUAUAUUUAUGCAAUUAUUAUGUGCAUAUCAAGUGGAUACAUGUUAAAUGGUGAGAUGGGUGGUAAUCCAUUUCUCAGCCCAUUAUUGUUAAUGGUGGCUGCUUUCUGGUGAACUUAAUCAAGAAGCAAAACAAAAACACUUUUUUUUUUUUUUGAGAUCAAAAGGAUGAUUCAAGGGGGCUUAUUAAAUUAUUUAGUUGCAACCUUAUGAUGGUAAUGAUGUUUACUUAAUUUGUUUAAUCAGAGGUGAAUGGUGCAAAAUAAAUCAUGGGUAUUAUCAAUCAGUUCCAGUUACUGCUUUAUCAAAAUUUGUUUUGCAUUACAUAGUUGCAUGUAAAAUAACUAAACAUGCUACAUGGUCAUGGCUGCAACAGUUGUAAUUUAACAAUAGAUUCUAGUUUUGUCUAAAAUACUGAAAGACUUGCUAAAUGUGUAAUCUAACAUAAAAAAGAAAUUUUGGGAAUAUACUACACCAUGUUUAUUUAUAAUUGCCCUUGGUUAUGCAAUAUGCAUAUGCUUGAUUCAUGAAUUGUGCACUGUUAGCAUGUAUAACCAUGUCUCCUUUGCUCUGUGCCAUUUAUAUCUAGUGCGUCAUAAGAAAACGAGUGUUGUGGUUCCCACAUUUGAUGUGUUGUAUAUGAUUAUUGAACCUUAAUAUUGUGAGGAGAUAAGUGAACCUUAAUACCUGAUGUUUGACUUGUGCUUCUAAUUGUGCUUCAGGAUGUCAUGAUUCUUGACCAAUCAGUGUUUUUUGGAGUGGCUGAUAUUCAUGAUAGGCAUAGGGAUAUGCGGCUUGAUGUUGAUAACAUGUCAUAUGAGGAGUUGUUGGCCUUGGAAGAGCGUAUUGGAAAUGUUAGUACUGGAUUGAGUGAAGAAACUAUCUUAAACCGGCUAAAGCAGCGGAAAUAUUCUGUUGCAGUAAGGACUGAGGUGGAUGCGGAACCUUGUUGCGUUUGU
rnacentral:misc_RNA from 1 species